UAUCAAAACCCAACCCUGAUUCACUUUUGUCAAAACACAAAGCUUAUACUCCUAUAUUAAUGUGAAGGAAACGCAGUGCAUUCUCAGCCAAACCU